UGUCUGGUGGGUAGUUUGACUGGGGCGGUCUCCUCCCAAAGCGUAACGGAGGAGCACGAAGGUUAGCUAAUCCUGGUCGGACAUCAGGAGGUUAGUGCAAUGGCAUAAGCUAGCUUGACUGCGAGCGUGACGGCGCGAGCAGGUGCGAAAGCAGGUCAUAGUGAUCCGGUGGUUCUGAAUGGAAGGGCCAUCGCUCAACGGAUAAAAGGUACUCCGGGGAUAACAGGCUGAUACCGCCCAAGAGUUCAUAUCGACGGCGGUGUUUGGCACCUCGAUGUCGGCUCAUCACAUCCUGGGGCUGAAGUAGGUCCCAAGGGUAUGGCUGUUCGCCAUUUAAAGUGGUACGCGAGCUGGGUUUAGAACGUCGUGAGACAGUUCGGUCCCUAUCUGCCGUGGGCGCUGGAGAAUUGAGGGGGGCUGCUCCUAGUACGAGAGGACCGGAGUGGACGCAUCACUGGUGUUCGGGUUGUCAUGCCAAUGGCACUGCCCGGUAGCUAAAUGCGGAAGAGAUAAGUGCUGAAAGCAUCUAAGCACGAAACUUGCCCCGAGAUGAGUUCUCCCUGAGACUUUAAGUCUCCUGAAGGAACGUUAAAGACGAUGACGUUGAUAGGCCGGGUGUGUAAGCGCAGCGAUGCGUUGAGCUAACCGGUACUAAUGAACCGUGAGGCUUAACCUU
rnacentral:ncRNA from 1 species